rnacentral:misc_RNA from 1 species
GUGAAUCAUCGAAUCUUUGAACGCAAAUUGCACUCUCUUGGAUUCCUGAGAGUAUGCCUGUUUGAGGGUCAAUUUAAAUAAAAAUCGGUGUGUUUGCUGCCUUUCGUGGUGACGCACCGGAUUUUGGUCGUCUUUCCUUCUUUUAAGUGACCUAAAAUUUUUCAUGGUUUUUUCGAACGUAUUUAAAUGUUUUUACGUACGUUUUCGCUAUCUAAUACUUGAUGUGUUCAUCCUCAUUAUUCGCGCCUAUAAUUUUUCAUCAAAAUGACUUCAAAUCAAGU